UACGUAGGGGGCGAGCGUUGUCCGGAUUUAUUGGGCGUAAAGAGCUCGUAGGUGGUUUGGCAAGUCGGAUGUGAAAUCUCCAGGCUCAACCUGGAGGGGUCAUUCGAUACUGCCAUGACUAGAGUUCGGUAGGGGAGUGUGGAAUUCCUGGUGGAGCGGUGAAAUGCGCAGAUAUCAGGAGGAACACCCGUAGCGAAGGCGGCACUCUGGGCCGAUACUGACACUGAGGAGCGAAAGCGUGGGGAGCGAACAGG
rnacentral:rRNA from 1 species